rnacentral:tRNA from 1 species
GCCUCCGUAGCUCAAUGGUAGAGCAGCUGACUCUUAAUCAGCGGGUUGUAGGUUCGAGUCCUACCGGGGGUACCA